CCAGAUUUAUGCUAGCUGAGGUACACAGAGUAUAUUAUGUGCCAUCAUUCACUAAACUGUUGAAUAUAUGUGACCUGUGUUUACCAAGCUGUGUCAUCGAUUUAUGCUGAACUGCCUAUAAUCAAGUACUCCUGAACAACUAUCAGAACUGAUUUUGACCCAACAAACUCUGACAUCAGAAGUAAACUUCAUCAUACAAAAUCUACAGUGCAUAAAAUGAGCAAUGCUGUGAGCAGUAUAUCUUGGGUACCAGUAAACGGGUAGAAAAAUAGCAGUGUUAAAGCAUGCAGAUUGUACUUGUAAUGGACAUAUUCUGUACUUCUUACUUUACUGCCUUUUGUCUUUCAAAAAUGCUUGACUUUCUUGUACUGUAGUCACUUAGAAGUUAGAGAACUACUAUUGCGUAGUUUGAAUUAGGAAAUGAAUGUCUUCAGAACCUUACAGAAGUAUAGUUUAAAUGUAAACGUCUAGUUGCAUUGUAUUUUGAUAGGACCAUGGGAGUGUGUUCUGUGGGCAGGCUCUUGUAUAGGGUUACUUGCACACUGCAAAAUGGUGAUACAAUUAAUUCAAAACUAUGAGGCCUGUAAGCUAUGAAUUGCAAUUGUCAUUUGCAAUGUUUGAAAGAAAACUCAUA